CCUACGGGCGGCAGCAGUGAGGAAUAUUGGUCAAUGGGCGUAAGCCUGAACCAGCCAAGUCGCGUGAGGGAUGAAGGUUCUAUGGAUCGUAAACCUCUUUUAUAAGGGAAUAAAGUGUGGGACGUGUCCUGUUUUGUAUGUACCUUAUGAAUAAGGAUCGGCUAACUCCGUGCCAGCAGCCGCGGUAAUACGGAGGAUCCGAGCGUUAUCCGGAUUUAUUGGGUUUAAAGGGUGCGUAGGCGGCCUUUUAAGUCAGCGGUGAAAGUUUGUGGCUCAACCAUAGAAUUGCAGUUGAAACUGGGAGGCUUGAGUAUGUUUGAGGCAGGCGGAAUGCGUGGUGUAGCGGUGAAAUGCUUAGAUAUCACGCAGAACCCCGAUUGCGAAGGCAGCCUGCCAAGCCAUGACUGACGCUGAUGCACGAAAGCGUGGGGAUCAAACAGGAUUAGAUACCCCAGUAGUC
rnacentral:rRNA from 1 species